UGAAUGUCAAUGAUUUGUUCAUAAGUUAAUUAUUAUUCUCUUAGGCACACACUGCACUCAAAAUGAGCUAUAUCAAACAACAACUUACAUCAGUAGUUGCUUCCGAUAGACUAAGGCCUACACUUGCUGACCUGAAUCUGGUGCUCCAUUAUUAUUUUCUUUAUGAAAGGUCAUGGCAUCAAAAUUGUCCAGACAGGCCUUUGUUCAAUGAUAUAGUCAAGGAGUAGUACAUGCUCAUGAAGCAUACAUGUGUUCCUAUCAGUGUUACUUUCUCUCAGCAUUCAAUUUCAAGAUGGAAUCAGUGACCUCUGGUGCUCCAAUAUUAUUUUCUUAAUGAAAGGUCAUGGCAUCAAAAUUGUCCAGAUAGGCCUUUGUUCAAUGAUAUAGUCAAGGAGUAGUACAUGCUCAUGAAGCAUACAUGUGUUCCUAUCAUAGUGUUACUUUCUCUCAGCAAUCAAUUUCAAGAUGGAAGCAGUGACCUCUGGCACUCCAAUAUUUUUUUCUUAGUGAAAGGUCAUGGCAUCAAAAUUGUCCAGAUAGGCCUUUGUUCAAUGAUAUAGUCAAGGAGUAGUACAUGCUCACGAAGCAUACAUGUGUUCCUAUCAUAGUGUUACUUUCUCUCAGCAAUCAAUUUCAAGAUGGAAGCAGUGACCUCUGAUGUAUUCAACAUAUUCAAUUCACUAGUGGGGAAGAAAUAUCCAAGGAAGCCAUUGUAAAAACUCAAAUAUGGCAUCCUGGUCUAGUUCUCUUCAUGGUUAUUUACAGUAAAGCCAACUAUGUCUUGGGUAACAUUUGCAACAUGUAGACAAAGGGAGAAAAUGGAAGACACAAACUUCAUGCUUCCACAUAGGUACAGCGAGCAGAAUGGUUAUUUAGGUGCUGAUUUCAUCCUGGUCAUAUUUCAUAUUGUGAACUAGGAACUAUUAGCUAAAUCUUUGAUGCAUGUAGGUGCAGCAGCUGCCGAGUUUUCUUCUUGAACACUGCCAGGAUUUAUAUGAAGCUGUGAUUAUAUAUGCAGUUCUGCAGACUCACUCAAUGAUGCUUUUCUAAAGACAGACAUCUAACACAGUGUGUUGCGCCAUAACUCAAUAAUGCACAGCAGUCAAAUCUCUGUUAUUGGGGGGCCAAAUUUUUUUGUUGCAGAGUGCUGGUGGUUGUAGGGCAAUUGUAAGCUGUGCAGGCUGCUCAUUUUCCAUGAGAAAGGUGAUGGCUAUUGAUGGGCUGUGGGUUGUGACAACCAAUGAGGAGGUGGUGGACACAGCAAAGGCAGUGUUAAAGAGCCCUUAAUGCUUCCGAAGAUGUUAGCCACCUAAGCUGCUGAACAUGGCAACAAAGACAACAUCAUAGCCAUUGUUGUGUUUCUUCCCCAAGUCUCAAUCAAUGAGAGAACUUAGGAGCUUUGGGAGGAGCUGAAUGCCGCACAUGUAUAAUUGCGUUUCGUCUUGGUGGCUGCUGGAUGUGGCAACAAAAGACAACAUCACAGUCCUUUUUCUUUGUCCGAUUGCAGCAAGACAAUUCAGCAGCAGUCAUAUCAAACACGCAGUGGCACCUCAUCUUGUUAAGCCCCUACAGUGUUUUUUAGUUAAGAUUCUUUGUUGUUGCCAAGUCUCUUCAAGCAGCUCAUGGAGAGUCAGAGUUGUAGACUAUAGCCAUUUUCAAAGCUCAACAAAAGUCAGACAAAGGAGUGAAGAAAUUCUGGAGGAAAGUCCAGUUUUUUGUUUAUCUUGAUUCAUUGUAUGCCUGCAACAGGCAUGUGUAACUUGAUACACAUUGUUUUGUUCAUACUACAA